GGUUGCUGUUGAUAAGCCCGUGCGGCAACUCCGCACACACGAGUGAAAAGGGGGGAAAAAACUCACCCCUCCACAUGGCAAUCGCAAUCAGGUAUCGUGGCCAAAACAUUUUCACAGCCAAGGCAAAGGAAGGCAUCUCCAUUUGGGAGGGCAAGCAACCUCUUCUUUCGAUGAACACAUGAGAAAGCAGGGGUUUUCUCCGGCCUGUUUUGGCGCCGCCGUCGUUCUCUGGGUCUCCUGAAAAAGGCAGCGCCGCGGCGCGCUUUCAACGUGGCGCCGGGUGCCUGGCGCCGUCCGGAUGUAACGACGACAGGCCGACGGCGACCGGAGCAUCUUGUUUCUGGUGGCUCGCCGGUGGAGACGACGGCGAGGCCGUUUUCCUUUGUCCAGCCGGGCGAAGUCUUGGAGAUAUAUAAAGUUUGGUUGAUGCACGAUGGAGCAGUCUUCAGAGUUUACGUCUGCGCUACGCCAAAGCGUGAUCACGCAGGUGUGGCUUGCAAAUCCGGAUUGAAUCUUCUAAAAACACCUAGUGCCUGAAUCUUAGGCCAAUUUGGGCAAAAGAAAUUCAGAUCCGUCAAGUUUAUCAUGAAGGUAUCCUGUGGCGAAGAAGAAGAUUCAGUCAACAGAGAAAUCUUAUUACUUCAGGGGGGGUUACACACACACGCACUUCCUCUGCAAUAAUUCAAUUUCUUAUUCCCCUUGAUCCACUGAACGAUGCACAAACUGUUCCAGGACAGCCAUGAGCAAUGGGCGUGCAUUUCCAGCAUCAGUGAGCAGCUAGUUGAGCUCAUGUCAUGUCGUGUCCACCUCAGAUGCUUGCUAGGUUGCUGUUUAGAUCCCUCUUGCUCCCUCGUAGUAAGUACCCUUCCUAUCCUGUGAACGCCAAUCACGUUGACCUCUUCUCUAAGUGUCAAUUUAACAUUUCUUCACCCUCUCCGAUCUAUCAAGGCCCAACUGGGCCAAGGUCAGGUACAUAUCACAGAGCUGUGACAUGGAGCCGGGACUAAAAAAAAGGGCAUCUUCAUUUCUUUCCUAGAAAAAAUGUAAUAGUACUUACCGUGAUGCAAGCAAUCCAGUAUCAACGCCAUAGAAAAUUAGUUAUUUUCUGGCUUUACCAAGUCAAAUGCAGCUGUCCGUGCCUGUAAGACCACUUGUUUUGUUUAUGAUCUGCUGUCUGGUUCGGUGACCGCCCAAAUUUCUUAUGCUCACCAAUUUUAUUUUAUUUUUUGCGAGAAAACAGAGAGCGUAUGGUCACCAUGACGCCAGCUGCAACAAUGAUGCCGUCAUUUUAUUUUAAUGCUUCUGAGUUCAGUUUGUGUUUAACAGUUUUAUUUGCCUUGCUUCACCUUCCUGUUUGGCUUUUCAGUGUCUUAUGGGGUGCAUUUCUUUUAGUGGUACAGUGUUGUUUUGAAAAGUUUCAGUAAUGCUUGCGCAGUUGUGCAGAUAGGUAGACCUGUUGUUUGACAAGCUGUAAGAUGAAAAAAAAAUGCUUAUCCCUUAACAGAUGGAAGUAUACAUACUACAUCAUGUUCUAUAAAAAUUGGGGUUAGGAUUGAUCGAA